rnacentral:rRNA from 1 species
AUGACUGCACGGCAGGGAGUGAGCACGCCAAUGCAGAGUGCACAUUGUGCAAUGAGUUAUGUCUUAUGUAUAGGUCUUGAGAGGACCCGAUGGAUAUUCAAUGGGUAUGGAUAUCCAUCAGAUUUGGACAUGUGUCUAUAUGAUGGUGCUCCAAAAGGCCCUCAGAUAAGAGAUUUAGAGCAUGGUGCUGACAUGGUUGUUGCAACUCCUGGAAGGCCGAAUGAUAUUCUGGAAAUGGGGAAAGUGAGUCUGAGUCAAAUAGCAUAUCUUGUUCUUGAUGAAGCUGACUGA